CGGAAGCGAUAACCGCUGAAAGCAUCUAAGCGGGAAGCGCGCCUCAAGAUGAGAUCUCCCGGGGCACAAGCCCCCUGAAGGAACCAUGUAGACUACGUGGUUGAUAGGUCAGGUGUGUAAGUACAGCAAUGUAUUGAGCUAACUGAUACUAAUGAUCCGAGAGGCUUGACCAUAUAACCUCA
rnacentral:rRNA from 1 species